GUACACGCUGUGACUAGCAUAUCAAUAAGCGGAGGAAAAGAAACUAACAAGGAUUCCCUUAGUAACGGCGAGUGAAGCGGGAAGAGCUCAAAUUUGAAAUCUUCAAGGUUUUACCUUGACGAAUUGUAGUUUAAAGAAGUGUUUUCUGCUGAAGUUUUGGUAAAAGUUCUUUGGAAUAGGACAUCAUAGAGGGUGAGAAUCCCGUAUUUGACCAUUAUUUUCAGCUCUUGUGAUACACUUUCAAAGAGUCGGAUUGUUUGGGAAUGCAGUCCAAAAUGGGUGGUAAAUUUCAUCUAAAGCUAAAUAUUGGCGAGAGACCGAUAGCGAACAAGUACCGUGAGGGAAAGAUGAAAAGAACUUUGAAAAGAGAGUUAAACAGUACGUGAAAUUGUCAAAAGGGAAGCGUUUGACACCAGUGUUGUUUUCUCGAAAAUCAAUUAAAAAUGGCUCGAUUUUGUAUUGUUGAGACCUUAAAAGCUCACUGUACAUUUUUCGUGUCUUUUUUAAUGCACUUUUCGUUUAACAAGUCAACAUCAGUUUCUUUUGUUGUAAAAGGGUCAUUGGAAGGUGGCUUUCUUUUCGGAGAAAGUGUUUAUAGCCUUUGGCCUCUGCAAUCGAAGAGACUGAGGUCUGCAGCGUAGACUCUUCGGGGUUAGAUACAUUUGUGCUAAGUUAUAGCUUUUUAUAGACGACUUGUUGACUAUAAUUAGUCUUGUAGCUUACUCGCUUAUGCUAUUUUACCUACGCUUAGGAUGUUGAACUACUGAGACAUAGA
rnacentral:rRNA from 1 species